CAUGGCUCAGGAUGAACGCUGACAGAAUGCUUAACACAUGCAAGUCGAUGGGGAAGUGGUGCUUGCACCAUGGUAACCAUGGCGGACGGGUGAGUAACGCGUAAGGGACUUACCUGCGGGACUGGGAUAACAGUAGGAAACUGCUGAUAAGACCGGAUAAAGUCAUGGAGCUGCAUGGUUCUAUGAUGAAAGGAGACGCCUGCGGAGAGCCUUGCGUCCUAUUAGCUAGUUGGAGGGGUAAUGGCCCACCAAGGCGAAGAUAGGUAGCCGGCCUGAGAGGGUGGACGGCCACAAGGGGACUGAGAUACGGCCCUUACUCCUACGG
rnacentral:rRNA from 1 species